CGCUGGCGGCAUGCCUUACACAUGCAAGUCGAACGGCAGCGCGGGGCAACCUGGCGGCGAGUGGCGAACGGGUGAGUAAUAUAUCGGAACGUGCCCUGGAGUGGGGGAUAACGCAGCGAAAGUUGCGCUAAUACCGCAUACGAUCUAAGGAUGAAAGCGGGGGAUUCGCAAGAACCUCGUGCUCCUGGAGCGGCCGAUAUCUGAUUAGCUAGUUGGUGGGGUAAAGGCCUACCAAGGCAUCGAUCAGUAGCUGGUCUGAGAGGACGACCAGCCACACUGGAACUGAGACACGGUCCAGACUCCUACGGGAGGCAGCAGUGGGGAAUUUUGGACAAUGGGCGAAAGCCUGAUCCAGCAAUGCCGCGUGAGUGAAGAAGGCCUUCGGGUUGUAAAGCUCUUUUGUCAGGGAAGAAACGGUAUGGGCUAAUAUCCCGUACUAAUGACGGUACCUGAAGAAUAAGCACCGGCUAACUACGUGCCAGCAGCCGCGGUAAUACGUAGGGUGCAAGCGUUAAUCGGAAUUACUGGGCGUAAAGCGUGCGCAGGCGGUUUUGUAAGUUUGUCGUGAAAGCCCCGGGCUCAACCUGGGAAUUGCGAUGAAGACUGCAAGGCUUGAAUCUGGCAGAGGGGGGUAGAAUUCCACGUGUAGCAGUGAAAUGCGUAGAGAUGUGGAGGAACACCGAUGGCGAAGGCAGCCCCCUGGGUCAAGAUUGACGCUCAUGCACGAAAGCGUGGGGA
rnacentral:rRNA from 1 species